UAAACUUCUUUUAUUAAGGACGAAAAAUGACGGUACUUAAUGAAUAAGCUCCGGCUAACUACGUGCCAGCAGCCGCGGUAAUACGUAGGGAGCAAGCGUUGUCCGGAUUUACUGGGUGUAAAGGGUGCGUAGGCGGCUUUGCAAGUCAGAUGUGAAAUCUAUGGGCUCAACCCAUAAACUGCAUUUGAAACUGUAGAGCUUGAGUGAAGUAGAGGCAGGCGGAAUUCCCCGUGUAGCGGUGAAAUGCGUAGAGAUGGGGAGGAACACCAGUGGCGAAGGCGGCCUGCUGGGCUUUAACUGACGCUGAGGCACGAAAGCGUGGGUAGCAAACAGGAUUAGAUACCCUGGUAGUCCACGCUGUAAACGAUGAUUACUAGGUGUGGGGGGUCUGACCCCUUCCGUGCCGGAGUUAACACAAUAAGUAAUCCACCUGGGGAGUACGGCCGCAAGGUUGAAACUCAAAGGAAUUGACGGGGGCCCGCACAAGCAGU
rnacentral:rRNA from 1 species